rnacentral:rRNA from 1 species
UACGGAGGUGGCAAGCGUUGUUCGGAAUUACUGGGCGUAAAGGGCGCGUAGGCGGCUUGGCAAGUCAGGUGUGAAAGCCCCGGGCUUAACUCGGGAACUGCAUCUGAAACUGCCUUGCUUGAGUCCUGGAGGGGGUAGUGGAAUUCCCAGUGUAGCGGUGAAAUGCGUAGAUAUUGGGAGGAACACCGGUGGCGAAGGCGGCUACCUGGACAGUGACUGACGCUGAGGCGCGAAAGCUAGGGGAGCGAACGG